AAAUUUGCGCUUUAGGGAUAUCUGUGAGUGUGCAUAUCUGCAUUGAUGGGAUAAUCACUAAUGGUUCCCCUCAGACAUUAAUUAGGUGAAACACUAACAAGGAAAGAUCGAUGUACCCUUUUGUUACCCCCCCCCAACCCACGCACAACAAACCCCCUUCCAUUUCUCAGAAGCUGUGAAAGGAAUCUGUGGUAGGUUGUCAUGCAUAGCACAUAGCAAGGUGCUAUCUUCUGUUUGUAAGUUUUGUGCGUCUUUGAAGCCAGUUGUUUUUUCAAGUUGUAUGCAUUUUAACAGGUUUAUUUCCUAAGGUUCUUUACGACUGAAAUAAAAUAGUAAAUGUAGAUUCAUCUUGCUAAGGUUCACUUGUUGGAUAUUCCUAUUACUAUUUUUCUGCUGCAUCAUUGGACAAAUUUUUCUUAACUCUCUAUUACCAAGUCCUCUUUCUGUGAUUAAUAAAGCAAUUGAAGAAGAUAGGUUUGAUAUCCCAGACGUUCCUAUGGAGGAGGACUAGAUUUUUGAUCAGCGACCUCUAUGAGUGUAUGUGAUGCUAUAUUAGCAGUUUCCGGAUUCAGUAUGGACAGAGAGAGCUGUGCCACAUGAUACAUGAGCAUUCCUGUGUGGGCUGUUGAAGUUGGGAGUUUUGACUAGAGAUGUUACAAUAUAUUCUUUCAUGAUAUUUAUAAUUUUUGGCCAUGUCUUCAUCAGCUUAUGCCUAAAUAGGUAUAUGCGACGAACCUCGAAAGUGUAAUUGCCUGGGUUUUCAAAUUUUAGUGUACCAUGUAAUAGCCCCGUGACUUUAAAAGUUUGAGAAUCCCAAGUAGAGAUGUGCUCUUUUGGUAAACAGUAGCAAAACAGAUUAAACUUAUAUUUACAAGAAACAAAGCUUAUACAGGAGUUGAAUUAAAUUUAUCCCCUAGGCUUUGCUUUACAA